rnacentral:rRNA from 1 species
AUUGAACGCUGGCGGCAUGCUUUACACAUGCAAGUCGAACGGCAGCGCGGGCUUCGGCCUGGCGGCGAGUGGCGAACGGGUGAGUAAUGCAUCUGAACGUGCCCAGUCGUGGGGGCUAGCCCGGCGAAAGCCGGAUUAAUACCGCAUACGACCUGAGGGUGAAAGCGGGGGACCGAAAGGCCUCGCGCUAUUGGAGCGGCCGAUGUCGGGUUAGCUAGUUGGUGGGGUAAAGGCUUACCCAGGCGACGAUCCGUAGCUGGUCUGAGAGGACGACCAGCCACACUGGGACUGAGACACGGCCCAGACUCCUACGGGAGGCAGCAGGGGGGAAUUUUGGACAAUGGGGGCAACCCGGAUCCAGCCAUGCCGCGGGCGGGAAGAAGGCCUGCGGGUUGUAAACCGCUUUUGUUCGGGAAGAAAUCCUCUGGGCUAAUACCCCGGGGGGAUGACGGUACCGGAAGAAUAAGCACCGGCUAACUACGU